rnacentral:rRNA from 1 species
GAUGAACGCUGGCGGCGUGCUUAACACAUGCAAGUCGAACGAAGCGCUUGGAUGGAAUUCUUCGGAAGGAAGCUCGAGUGACUGAGUGCCGGACGGGUGAGUAACGCGUGGGUAACCUGCCUCAUACAGGGGGAUAACAGUUAGAAAUGACUGCUAAUACCGCAUAAGCACACGUGAUCGCAUGAUCGAGUGUGAAAAACUCCGGUGGUAUGAGAUGGACCCGCGUCUGAUUAGCUAGUUGGUGGGGUAAUGGCCCACCAAGGCGACGAUCAGUAGCCGGCCUGAGAGGGUGAACGGCCACAUUGGGACUGAGACACGGCCCAAACUCCUACGGGAGGCAGCAGUGGGGAAUAUAGCACAAUGGGGGAAACCCUGAUGCAGCGACGCCGCGUGAAGGAUGAAGUAUUUCGGUAUGUAAACUUCUAUCAGCAGGGAAGAAAAUGACGGUACCUGACUAAGAAGCCCCGGCUAACUACGUGCCAGCAGCCGCCGUAA